AUCUUUAGUAAUUGCGAAUGAACAAGGAUAUGCUUAGCUUGACAAAUGGAGCUAUUGGCUUUGAAUUGUAUUGUGGAAAUGUAUUACCAACAGAGGUGCAGGUGCCAGCCUAUUGAAAUAAAGCGUCAAUGAGGGUGAGAAUCCUGUUUGUCAUGUGCAGCCCUUUGUGCACGGUGUAUAUUUGCUGAGUCACACUCCUUGGCAUUGGAAUGCAAAGUGGGUGGUAAGUUUCAUGUAAAGGUAAACAUGCAAUUGAGACUGAUAGCACACAAGUACCAUGAGGGAAAUAUGAAAAGGACUUUGAAAAGAGAAUUAAAUGAGUUUGUAUUUGCUGAACACAAAGUAAACAGACUUGAUUUGCUUGGUGGGAGUGUUGCACUUGCUUGACAAGAGCUUUGGGCUGUGGGUGUAAUGAUUCUUUCUUUGCAUGCCAGUUUCUAUUUGUACAUCUGAUUACCUUUGCACAUGAAUGAUAAGUCUCCUGUGGGGGGUGGAUUGCAUGUGCAUGUAAUGAUUUGUGUUUUGAUAAAUGUGUCUGGUGUAUGUGUGUGUUCCUGUGCUUGGGGAUGCUUCCUUCCUUGGACUUACAAGCCCUGACAC
rnacentral:rRNA from 1 species